UACGGAAUGUGCAAACGUUAUUCGGAAUCACUGGGCUUAAAGAGUCCGUAGGCGGCAUGUUAGGUGAGGUGUGAAAUCCCCCGGCUCAACCGAGGAAUUGCGCUUCAAACCGGCGUGCUUGAGGAAGAUAGAGGUGGGCGGAACUGAUGGUGGAGCGGUGAAAUGCGUUGAUAUCAUCAGGAACACCGGAGGCGAAGGCGGCCCACUGGGUCUUUUCUGACGCUGAGGGACGAAAGCUAGGGGAGCGAACAGG
rnacentral:rRNA from 1 species